rnacentral:rRNA from 1 species
GCACAAGCGGUGGAGUAUGUGGUUUAAUUCGAUGCAACGCGAAGAACCUUACCUGGUCUUGACAUCCCGGAGACCCUUAGGAAACUAGGGGGUGCUUCCAUCUGGAAGAAUCUGGAGACAGGUGCUGCAUGGCUGCCGUCAGCUCGUGUCGUGAGAUGUUGGGUUAAGUCCCGCAACGAGCGCAACCCUUGCCUUUAGUUGCCAGCAGUUCGGCUGGGCACUCUAAAGGGACUGCCGGUGUUAAACCGGAGGAAGGUGGGGAUGACGUCAAGUCCUCAUGGCCUUUAUGACCAGGGCUACACACGUACUACAAUGGCCGAUACAAAGGGCAGCGACACUGCGAGGUGAAGCCAAUCCCGUAAAAUCGGUCUCAGUCCGGAUUGGAGUCUGCAACUCGACUCCAUGAAGUUGGAAUCGCUAGUAAUCGUGGAUCAGCAUGCCACGGUGAAUACGUUCCCGGGCCUU